rnacentral:rRNA from 1 species
CCUACGGGUGGCAGCAGUGAGGAAUAUUGGUCAAUGGACGAGAGUCUGAACCAGCCAAGUAGCGUGAAGGAUGACUGCCCUAUGGGUUGUAAACUUCUUUUAUAUGGGAAUAAAAUGUUCCACGUGUGGGAUUUUGUAUGUACCAUAUGAAUAAGGAUCGGCUAACUCCGUGCCAGCAGCCGCGGUAAUACGGAGGAUCCGAGCGUUAUCCGGAUUUAUUGGGUUUAAAGGGAGCGUAGGUGGAUUGUUAAGUCAGUUGUGAAAGUUUGCGGCCCAACCGUAAAAUUGCAGUUGAAACUGGCAGUCGUGAGUACAGUAGAGGUGGGCGGAAGUCGGGGUGGAGCGGUGAAAUGCUUAGAUAUCACGAAGAACUCCGAUUGCGAAGGCAGCUCACUGGACUGCAACUGACACUGAGGCUCGAAAGUGUGGGUAUCAAACAGGAUUAGAUACCCUAGUAGUC